GGCACACCAAGCUGACCCGAUAUCUCCAAAAAUGUUCAAGAACGGCUGAACGCUGUUGGAGAAAGUCUCACUCUGCACCUGACUUCCUCCACUAUAAAUAUAUGCUGCGCUGCUACACACUAGCUCUUUCCUCUCCAAAAGUAAAUUACUUCAAUACCCUCAUAACCACACUCUCCCACGAACACAAACAACUAUUCCACACUUUUAAUGCUCUCUUUCGCCCUGUUGCUCCCCCUCCUCCUACCACCCUGUCCACCUCAAACUUUG